GGUUAAGCGACUAAGCGUACACGGUGGAUGCCCUGGCAGUCAGAGGCGAUGAAGGACGUGCUAAUCUGCGAUAAGCGCCGGUAAGGUGAUAUGAACCGUUAUAACCGGCGAUUUCCGAAUGGGGAAACCCAGUGUGAUUCGUCACACUAUCAUUAACUGAAUCCAUAGGUUAAUGAGGCGAACCGGGGGAACUGAAACAUCUAAGUACCCCGAGGAAAAGAAAUCAACCGAGAUUCCCCCAGUAGCGGCGAGCGAACGGGGAGGAGCCCAGAGCCUGAAUCAGCAUGUGUGUUAGUGGAAGCGUCUGGAAAGGCGCGCGAUACAGGGUGACAGCCCCGUACACAAAAGCGCAUGUGCUGUGAGCUCGAUGAGUAGGGCGGGACACGUGGUAUCCUGUCUGAAUAUGGGGGGACCAUCCUCCAAGGCUAAAUACUCCUGACUGACCGAUAGUGAACCAGUACCGUGAGGGAAAGGCGAAAAGAACCCCGGCGAGGGGAGUGAAAAAGAACCUGAAACCGUGUACGUACAAGCAGUGGGAGCCCCACCACCAAAGCAUUUGCUGUACCAUGUUGACGGAGCGAAGCGACGUCAAACCGAUAAAACAGCAGUGUAAAGUGAGCCGCAGGGCGCUUUGCGCGACAGCGCAAAGGCAGGCGGUUUCGCGUAGCGAAAGCGAAUGCUUUGGGGUGGGGUGACUGCGUACCUUUUGUAUAAUGGGUCAGCGACUUAUAUUCUGUAGCAAGGUUAACCGAAUAGGGGAGCCGGAGGGAAACCGAGUCUUAACCGGGCGUUAAGUUGCAGGGUAUAGACCCGAAACCCGGUGAUCUAGCCAUGGGCAGGUUGAAGGUUGGGUAACACUAACUGGAGGACCGAACCGACUAAUGUUGAAAAAUUAGCGGAUGACCUGUGGCUGGGGGUGAAAGGCCAAUCAAACCGGGAGAUAGCUGGUUCUCCCCGAAAGCUAUUUAGGUAGCGCCUCGUGAAUUCAUCUCCGGGGGUAGAGCACUGUUUCGGCUAGGGGGCCAUCCCGGCUUACCAACCCGAUGCAAACUGCGAAUACCGGAGAAUGUUAUCACGGGAGACACACGGCGGGUGCUAACGUCCGUCGUGAAGAGGGAAACAACCCAGACCGCCAGCUAAGGUCCCAAAGUCAUGGUUAAGUGGGAAACGAUGUGGGAAGGCCCAGACAGCCAGGAUGUUGGCUUAGAAGCAGCCAUCAUUUAAAGAAAGCGUAAUAGCUCACUGGUCGAGUCGGCCUGCGCGGAAGAUGUAACGGGGCUAAACCAUGCACCGAAGCUGCGGCAGCGAACGUAUCACUUAAAGCGAUUCAGCGGGUUACGAUUGACGGAGCGAAGCGACGUCAAAGCGUAUACAAAGUCGAGUCGGUUUAAGGAUACGUUCGUUGGGUAGGGGAGCGUUCUGUAAGCCUGUGAAGGUGGCCUGUGAGGGUUGCUGGAGGUAUCAGAAGUGCGAAUGCUGACAUAAGUAACGAUAAAGCGGGUGAAAAGCCCGCUCGCCGGAAGACCAAGGGUUCCUGUCCAACGUUAAUCGGGGCAGGGUGAGUCGACCCCUAAGGCGAGGCCGAAAGGCGUAGUCGAUGGGAAACGGGUUAAUAUUCCCGUACUUGGUGUUACUGCGAAGGGGGGACGGAGAAGGCUAUGUUGGCCGGGCGACGGUUGUCCCGGUUUAAGCGUGUAGGUGUGUGUUCCAGGUAAAUCCGGUUCACUUUAACACUGAGGCGUGAUGACGAGGCACUACGGUGCUGAAGCAACAAAUGCCCUGCUUCCAGGAAAAGCCUCUAAGCAUCAGGUAACAUCAAAUCGUACCCCAAACCGACACAGGUGGUCAGGUAGAGAAUACCAAGGCGCUUGAGAGAACUCGGGUGAAGGAACUAGGCAAAAUGGUGCCGUAACUUCGGGAGAAGGCACGCUGACACGUAGGUGAAGUGAUUUACUCACGGAGCUGAAGUCAGUCGAAGAUACCAGCUGGCUGCAACUGUUUAUUAAAAACACAGCACUGUGCAAACACGAAAGUGGACGUAUACGGUGUGACGCCUGCCCGGUGCCGGAAGGUUAAUUGAUGGGGUCAGCGCAAGCGAAGCUCCUGAUCGAAGCCCCGGUAAACGGCGGCCGUAACUAUAACGGUCCUAAGGUAGCGAAAUUCCUUGUCGGGUAAGUUCCGACCUGCACGAAUGGCGUAAUGAUGGCCAGGCUGUCUCCACCCGAGACUCAGUGAAAUUGAACUCGCUGUGAAGAUGCAGUGUACCCGCGGCAAGACGGAAAGACCCCGUGAACCUUUACUAUAGCUUGACACUGAACAUUGAGCCUUGAUGUGUAGGAUAGGUGGGAGGCUUUGAAGCGUGGACGCCAGUCUGCGUGGAGCCAACCUUGAAAUACCACCCUUUAAUGUUUGAUGUUCUAACGUGGACCCGUGAUCCGGGUUGCGGACAGUGUCUGGUGGGUAGUUUGACUGGGGCGGUCUCCUCCUAAAGAGUAACGGAGGAGCACGAAGGUUGGCUAAUCCUGGUCGGACAUCAGGAGGUUAGUGCAAUGGCAUAAGCCAGCUUGACUGCGAGCGUGACGGCGCGAGCAGGUGCGAAAGCAGGUCAUAGUGAUCCGGUGGUUCUGAAUGGAAGGGCCAUCGCUCAACGGAUAAAAGGUACUCCGGGGAUAACAGGCUGAUACCGCCCAAGAGUUCAUAUCGACGGCGGUGUUUGGCACCUCGAUGUCGGCUCAUCACAUCCUGGGGCUGAAGUAGGUCCCAAGGGUAUGGCUGUUCGCCAUUUAAAGUGGUACGCGAGCUGGGUUUAGAACGUCGUGAGACAGUUCGGUCCCUAUCUGCCGUGGGCGCUGGAGAACUGAGGGGGGCUGCUCCUAGUACGAGAGGACCGGAGUGGACGCAUCACUGGUGUUCGGGUUGUCAUGCCAAUGGCACUGCCCGGUAGCUAAAUGCGGAAGAGAUAAGUGCUGAAAGCAUCUAAGCACGAAACUUGCCCCGAGAUGAGUUCUCCCUGAGACUUAGAGUCUCCUGAAGGAACGUUGAAGACGACGACGUUGAUAGGCCGGGUGUGUAAGCGCAGCGAUGCGUUGAGCUAACCGGUACUAAUGAACCGUGAGGCUUAACCUU
rnacentral:rRNA from 1 species